GGACCCGCACAAGUAGUGGAGCAUGUGGUUUAAUUCGAAGAUACGCGCAGAACCUUACCAACACUUGACAUGUUCGUCGCGACUUUAAGAGAUUAAAGUUUUCGGUUCGGCCGGACGAAACACAGGUGCUGCAUGGCUGUCGUCAGCUCGUGUCGUGAGAUGUUGGGUUAAGUCCCGCAACGAGCGCAACCCUCACUUUUAGUUGCCAUCAUUAAGUUGGGCACUCUGAAAGAACUGCCAGUGAUAAGCUGGAGGAAGGUGGGGAUGACGUCAAGUCCUCAUGGCCCUUACGUGUUGGGCUACACACGUGCUACAAUGGCAUUUACAAUAGGAAGCAAGACGGCGACGUUAAGCAAAUCCAUAAACCGAUCUCAGUUCGGAUUGGAGUCUGCAACUCGACUCCAUGAAGUUGGAAUCGCUAGUAAUCGC
rnacentral:rRNA from 1 species